UCCGGUUGAUCCUGCCGGACCUGACUGCUAUCGGAUUGAUACUAAGCCAUGCGAGUCAUUGUAGCAAUACAAGGCAUACGGCUCAGUAACGCGUAGUCAACCUAACCUAUGGACGGGAAUAACCUCGGGAAACUGAGAAUAAUGCCCGAUAGAACAUUAUGCCUGGAAUGGUUUAUGUUCCAAAUGAUUUAUCGCCGUAGGAUGGGACUGCGGCCUAUCAGUUUGUUGGUGAGGUAAUGGCCCACCAAGACUAUUACAGGUACGGGCUCUGAGAGGAGUAGCCCGGAGAUGGGUACUGAGACACGGACCCAGGCCCUAUGGGGCGCAGCAGGCGAGAAAACUUUGCAAUGUGCGAAAGCACGACAAGGUUAAUCCGAGUGAUUUGUGCUAAACGAAUCUUUUGUUAGUCCUAGAAACACUAACGAAUAAGGGGUGGGCAAGUUCUGGUGUCAGCCGCCGCGGUAAAACCAGCACCUCAAGUGGUCAGGAUGAUUAUUGGGCCUAAAGCAUCCGUAGCCGGCUCUGUAAGUUUUCGGUUAAAUCUGUACGCUUAACGUACAGGCUGCCGGGAAUACUGCAAAGCUAGGGAGUGGGAGAGGUAGACGGUACUCGGUAGGAAGUGGUAAAAUGCUUUGAUCUAUCGAUGACCACCUGUGGCGAAGGCGGUCUACCAGAACACGUCCGACGGUGAGGGAUGAAAGCUGGGGGAGCAAACCGGAUUAGAUACCCGGGUAGUCCCAGCUGUAAACUAUGCAAACUCAGUGAUGCAUUGGCUUGUGGCCAAUGCAGUGCUGCAGGGAAGCCGUUAAGUUUGCCGCCUGGGAAGUACGUACGCAAGUAUGAAACUUAAAGGAAUUGGCGGGGGAGCACCACAAGGGGUGAAGCCUGCGGUUCAAUUGGAGUCAACGCCGGA
rnacentral:rRNA from 1 species